CCCUUAGAUGUCCUGGGCCGCACGCGCGCUACACUGAUGCAUUCAACGAGUCUACCUUGGCCGAGAGGCCUGGGCAACCUUUUAAACGUGCAUCGUGAUAGGGAUAGAUUAUUGCAAUUAUUAAUCUUGAACGAGGAAUUCCUAGUAAACGCAAAUCAUCAAUUUGCAUUGAUUACGUCCCUGCCCUUUGUACACACCGCCCGUCGCACCUACCGAUUGGAUGGUCCGGUGAAGCCUCGGGAUUGUGGUUCUUGCCGCUUUAUUGUGGCGUGACCGCGAGAACUUGUCUAAACCUUAUCAUCUAGAGGAAGGUGAAGUCGUAACA
rnacentral:rRNA from 1 species